CCGUUUUCCUCUCCACUGGGCCGGCCUCCCAAGGCCCAGCCGCCCCUCCUAACCCUAGCACACCCCUGGCAUCUCCCUCAUCUCCCUCCAGGCUGCCGCUCACGCACGCAUCAAGCCAUGAGGCCGCGAUCGAUCCCCUUUUCCCUCUCUUCAAUCUCCCUUGCAGCGCCCCAGUCCGCUCGAUCCCCUGUCUCUCCUGCCAUUUCCCUCGACCCUCUCCUCUGGUUCUCCUAGUGCAGGCAGAGGGGCCGCGCAUCGUGCCUGAUCCAUGGUCUUCCCCUUCCUCUCAUCGCGGUUCUCCUCGCUGAACCUCCCCGAGCUGGAGCCUCCACCUCCGUCGCCAUGGCGCUGCGGCCCUGUCGCUUCCCUGCCUCUCUGUUGCGCUAGGGACUCGAGCCCUCCACCAGCAGGUGCACUGCUCCAACCCACACCUCAGGCGUCCUUGCCGUCGUCGUCGCCUAGCCAGGAGGCCACCUGAUCUGGACGCCCACAGACCUCCGGCCAUCUUCGGUUGCAGCCCGCUGGCCUCGUUGCUCCUCUUGUCACUGCCAAGACGCGGCAGCCAGGGAGCCCAAGACCGCCUUCGUGGUUUUCGCCAAGUUCGUCCACCGCCAAAUGAGUUGGAGAUCCAUUGAUGCAUCUCCAUGUGGAACCUAACAAGUACAACUGGUUUCCCCAAGCAACACACCGCAAGCGCCAAGUACCUCUGCCGACGGCCCUGAACAUGUACGAAAUGCGUACCACUACGCGGGAUUCCUCGGACGCCAAGUUCCACGAUGUGUCAAGUUCCUCGCCGUGACCCCGAACAUCUACAGAAACUCGUGCAAUUAUGAACGCAAACGACUACCGUAGACCCCAAGUUACUCGUAUUCUCCAAGUUCCUCUUCGAAACAUGUACCACUACCAUCGCCAAUAUCGCGAAUACCUCUACUGUCGUCAUGUACCCCUACUUCCACUA